rnacentral:rRNA from 1 species
UACGUAGGGAGCAAGCGUUGUCCGGAAUCAUUGGGCGUAAAGCGCGCGUAGGUGGCCUCAUAAGUCCGCUGUGAAAGUCCAAGGCUCAACCUUGGAAAGCCGGUGGAUACUGUGAGGCUAGAGUACGGAAGAGGCGAGUGGAAUUCCUGGUGUAGCGGUGGAAUGCGCAGAUAUCAGGAGGAACACCUGCGGUGUAGACGGCUUACUGGACCAUCACUGACGCUGAGGCACGAAAGCGUGGGUAGCAAACAGG